CAGUCGCCGCGGUAAUACAGAGGGUGCGAGCGUUAAUCGGAUUUAUUGGGCGUAAAGCGUGCGUAGGCGGCUUCUUAAGUCGGAUGUGAAAUCCCUGAGCUUAACUUAGGAAUUGCAUUCGAUACUGGGAAGCUAGAGUAUGGGAGAGGAUGGUAGAAUUCCAGGUGUAGCGGUGAAAUGCGUAGAGAUCUGGAGGAAUACCGAUGGCGAAGGCAGCCAUCUGGCCUAAUACUGACGCUGAGGUACGAAAGCAUGGGGAGCAAACAGGAUUAGAUACCCCCGUAGUCCCUGUCUCUUAUAC
rnacentral:rRNA from 1 species